UCCCCCAGCAAUAGGCAAAGAGACACCUUGUUGGUGGUGUUGCUCUUAAGUCAGUCUGUGGCAGAGCAGAUGGCAGUCCCCAGUUCAUCCUAGCUUGGUGCCCAAGCUGUUAUAUGCAUAGGACACAUAC
ensembl:snoRNA LOC120102655 small nucleolar RNA SNORA48